GUUGAUCUUCACUUAACAUCUCAGAGGGAGAUUUAUUUUAGAAUGUUUCCUAAAUGUUUAUCCUUUUUUAAACUAUCGCUGACAUUUGUUUGAAAUGGAUGAUCCUAAAGCUUUUGUGUAUUCUUUUUUUCUUGGACUAAACUAUUAUUUGCAGGGGGAGAGGGGCAAGAAAGGCUCUAGAGGGUCUAAAGGGGAUAAGGGAGACCAAGGAGCACCUGGAUUAGAUGCACCCUGUCCGUUGGGGGAAGAUGGCCUUCCAGUUCAAGGCUGCUGGAAUAAGUGAUGAUUCUAACCCUGGACUGACCUGUGUGUGUUACUGUACAUAGAAUAUUUAUUUUUAUACGGUGUUCUUCUCUGAAAUGCCAAAAGUUAUGCAUUUUUACAAAUUAUCAGAAAGUGGCAUAUUUUUUUGUACAGAAAAUAUUAGAUCUCCCUUUUUUCCCGUUUGUCAGUUCUCAGUAUGAUUCCAUGUCUGCAUUACGCUUGUUUUUUUUCAUGGAGUACAGCUGUAAUAUUUACAUGGUAUUUGUGCACACAUGAUGAAUAUAGGAACUUAAUAAAUUAUUGCAUUAAAAGUGCCCAAAGGAACUGCCCUGUAUAGAUUUAAAGGUCAUUUUCAUUUUUCAAGCUGGAUCAUUCAAGAAUAUUUCAAAAUAUUAUGUAUUUUUUAUUAAAGUGAAAUAUUAACACUUCUGUUGUGAUGAAUUAAAGUGUUGCUGAAAAACCUCAUAGUAGCACUGGGAAUGUAGAGACACCAUGAUUUAUAACUAUCCUCCCAUGACCUGGAAUAACCCUCAUGAAAACGAGCCCUGGUUGGCAAGAAAUUCUAAUCCCUUGCUAAAUGGUCAGCCUUCAAGCAGCUUAAUUAAAGCCUUAUUUAAAAUUAAGCAUAAUGCAGCAUACCUUGAUAUCCGAACAAACGUGUGUUUGUGAAAUCAAUCCACGUGGCUUUCUAAAAUGUUAACCAAAGGUCGCAUGCAAAUUUGCGGAGUGUGUAAUUAUCAUUUGCAUAUGCACAUCUUAAUUAUCCUUCCUGACCUACCUUUGUUGAUGUCUCAACUCUGGGUAGUUUAGAGAGGAAAACAUUACCAGACUAAAGUGAAUGUAACAGUGUGCUUUCCUUAGAAAAUGAAGGGAAAAGUGGAAGCCUAAAUCUAUUCCCUAAAAGA